AAAUCCAUGUAUAGGAGGUCCUGCCUGCCCAGUGACAUUAAGUUAAACGGCCGCGGUAUUUUGACCGUGCUAAGGUAGCGCAAUCACUUGUCUUUUAAAUGAGGACCCGUAUGAAUGGUGGAACGAGGGCUUAACUGUCUCCCUUUUUAGGUCAGUGAAAUUGAUCUGCCCGUGCAGAAGCGGACAUAAUAAUGCAAGACGAGAAGACCCUUUGGAGCUUAAGAUAUAGGGCCAACUAUGUCAAGAAUUCCUAUAAAUGGAAAUAAAACAAAGUACUACCUGGCCCAAGUCUUCGGUUGGGGCGACCGCGGAGGAAAAUAAAGCCUCCUCGUGGACUGGGUUUUAACCUAAUACCAAGAGGGACACCUCUAAGUCACAGAAUAUCUGACCAAAAGAUCCGGUUUUAUAACCGAUCAACGGACCAAGUUACCCUAGGGAUAACAGCGCAAUCCCCUCCAAGAGUCCAUAUCGACAAGGGGGUUUACGACCUCGAUGUUGGAUCAGGACAUCCUAAUGGUGCAGCCGCUAUUAAGGGUUCGUUUGUUCAACGAUUAAAGU
rnacentral:rRNA from 1 species